UCUAAACCCUAACUUCAUUUCAUCUACAGCCGCUCCUCCUUCUUUCUCUCUCUCUCUCUCGUGCUUUUCAAUUUAGGGUUUCACGAGAUCUGUGGUAUGAGCAAGAUCUCACCAGAUCCAACAAUGGUGUGGUGAUCUCAGGCGAUAUAUGUGCUUCAGUUUUGUUAACCAUCUCCUCCCUUUCUCCAGGUGAUUCUAGGGUUUCUUUAUAAGUCGCUUCAAGAUCUACGCUUCCUCAGUGAUGAAUCUAUCUAGAUCCGACACUAGAUCGACUGAUUACCUGGUGGUUGUGGGUGGAAGAUGGUGGCGAUGACACAGAUCUACCGUUUGGUGGCCAGAUCUACCGUUUGAAGUUGAAGGUACUGGCUGUGGUAUACAAGCUCUCUACCGGAUCUGUGUGUUCACUCGCGUGGCCGUCCAACUUUUUCAUUGUUCAGGUUCUUAAUGACUUCACCAAUAAAGUUCUAAUGUAAUUAUUUGCAGACAUUGGUGGAAUUGAAGUGUAAAAAGAUCCAUAAAGAGGAGUGAAUGUCAAAUAUGAAACUAGAAACAACAAAAAAGGACACAAAGCUGGUGCUCUUCGUAAAGAUUUCAAUAUGUGACCGAUUUGGAAGCUGUUGGGAAUAUUUUCUAAAGUGGCCAGGCUAUUUCAAAAAACUAAUGCUCGCAUUGGAUUUGAUUGCAACAUUAGAAACGGUACCUAUUGUCAUGUCGAAAGGAUGUAUUAAAAUAUUUUUUAGUUUUAUUCGCUCAUUUUCAAUUUAAUUAUCCACUGUGGUUGACCUCUAGGUACCGUUAUAAACCACAUCUAAUGUUUUUUGUUUGUUAUUUGAGUCUGAUUUGGAUCUGGUUAAAAUUCUGUUUGCGAGGCAAUGCUUGAACGGGUCUCUGACAUGAUGGAAAAGGAUUUGAUUCUUGUUGGUGCAACUGUUGUCGAGGAUAAGCUGCAACAAGGGGUUUGGUUUCAAUGUUUCCACUGGGGUUGACCUCUUGGUAACGUUAUAAACCAUCUUCUCCGAGAUCGGCUGCUGCUUAUGUUAAUCAUCAUCGUCUUCUGUUCAGAUCUGGUUUAG